GGCCCUAGGGUGUCACAUAUAAGAUUGCAAAUCUUAAGAGGCAGACUAACCCCUGCUGGGGCUU
rnacentral:tRNA from 2 species